CUUAUUCUUUCGCAAGACUCCAAUGACGUGGCAGGUUAUUAGUGGCGUACGUCACGACCAGUGACGUGGAAAACAAACCACCCGAUAAUAGCUCUGUAUGUUCCCGUCUUCCUCAACAACUUCACCGGAAUCCAACUAACGACCACCGGCGAACAUCUCCGACCCCAAAUACAAAGAAGUAAACUCAAUAUAGGAGAUGAGAAAUCGAAGAAUCCGAAGGUUAAGCUUUGCUCUCCUACUUCUCGCACUUCUCCCAAUUUCUACACUCGGCCGUCAAUUAGUGCUCGUCCUCUCUCAAGACGACCUCGGAGAAGCAUCCGGUGAUUCUACAAAUCUCGGAGAUGACACGUCAGAUACUGGAUUCGACGAUUUCAUUGACUCCGAAGCAAAGCCCGAUUACGUGCUCGAUCCGGGCUCAUGGAGCCCGAUUUUCGAGCCCGCUAUUGCGCCGAGAAGCAUCCGGUGAUUCUACGAAUCUUGGCGAUGACACGUCAGAUACUGGAUUUGAUGAUUUCAUCGACUCCGAAGCAAAGCCCGAUUACGUGCUCGAUCCGGGCUCAUGG
rnacentral:lncRNA from 1 species